rnacentral:lncRNA from 1 species
GACUUACAGAGCUGGCUAAGGAAAAGGAAGAAGAGCAGGGGCUAUCAGUGUCAGCCGUGCUCAGCAGGAGCCACCACGGUUCACAGCCGGACCCCAGCAGCUUUCAUCACUGAGGAAACCAAGAGCUCUCAUGGACCUCCUGAAAAUUUCACCAGGUUUUGCCCACAGGAUCUGCAUCAGGAGCCAGCCCAGGCCUCUGUGCCUCUGCGAGGGCAAGACAACAGCCUAGAUCCCUUUGAUAGACUCCUCACCGCUGUGCUUGCACUUGGGACAAACCACUCCAGCUGUAACCUGCAUAUGGCCUGCCUGAUGCUGUUUACCAGCCUCCACUACUGUGUGAGUGCCCCCAUGUCAAGGCCUGUAGACAUGGAAGUGCACACCGACAGCCAAGGCCCCCAUGGCUGCUCAUGGGACCAGAUAUGGUCCUCUCUUAUGUCCCUGGCAUGCAUGGCUGGGGUCACCUGCAGCUAGCCCUCCCACACCCCAAGCUAUGACCCUGUAUGCCUCCUGUCUGACAAGACCCUGCAGCCAAUAGCCAAGGCCCCUGAGUUGCUUAUAGACCUGGAAUUGGCCCUACCUCCUGUCCCUGGCCUGUACCACUGGGUUCACCUGCAGCCAGCCCCUCCAGUUGUGCAUCUGAAUGCCCCUGGCCUGACUUCUGACACUGACCUCACUGCCAUGCAUGCAUGGCCAGACGCUGUAGCAACAGUAGUGCAUUUUGACAGCCAGGGCCCCCACAGUUGCCUGUGGGACCAGCUUUGGACUCUCCUGUCACUGACCUACACUGCUAGGAUCGUUUGCAACUGGCCCCUCCUGCUAUGCACAUGCACCCAGCCAGCCCAACUCCCAUCACCAGCUUCCACUGCUGCGCGUGUACCUGUGGUGUGAUUCUGCAGCCACUGGAAUACACAGGGACAGCCAGGGCCCACACAGCUGUCAAUGCACCCACAGGUGGAAUAGGUUCUUACUGAUAACUCUGGCCCUGACGACCACACGUGUAUCUGCAAUUGACCCCUACCAGUACACAGGCUCCUGCAGCUGGACCCUGCAGCUGAGUAUGUGCACAGCACUGGCUCCUGACACCAUCAGUCCCUACCCUGGUCUCUACCAGCUGGAACUUGAGGGGCUGCUGAGGACCCCAUUAGCUCUCGCAGCCACUGUGGACCAAGAAAGAGUCUAGUUUGAAUGUCAUUUAGGAUCUAGGGUAGAAUUAACUUGGAAAUGAGUAAACCAUGCCCUCUUCAACUGAAAUAAAUUCUUUGAAAUAUUUGAAAGGUCUACCUAU